CCUUUAAGCAAUGGAACAACUUGGAAAUUGCUGUGAUUUCUUUGAACUCUUUCUGUCAAGACUUUAGGAAUAGUAAAAUCUAAACAUUAGGACUCUAAUAAAAUAAAAGAAAUUCGAUUUAGCAGAGUAUACUUAAGACUUUCCUAUUCAUAGAAGAAGAAAAAUUGUUAAACCGUGUAACCUUUCUCCCGGUGUCUAGUGUCUGCUACCUGCUAUUCUCCACUCCAGGAAGCACGUUCACAAAAUGCUAUAAUUUUUAAAGUUAAUUAGGAGUAAGAGGUG
rnacentral:lncRNA from 1 species